UACGUAGGGGGCAAGCGUUGUCCGGAAUCAUUGGGCGUAAAGAGCGCGUAGGCGGUCCGGUAAGUCGGUUGUGAAAACGUGGGGGCUCAACCCUCAGAGGACCGACCGAUACUGUCGGGCGUAGAGUCCGGAAGAGGCGAGUGGAAUUCCUGGUGUAGCGGUGAAAUGCGCAGAUAGUCAGGAGGAACACCAAUGGCGAAGGCAGCUCGCUGGGACGGUACUGACGACUGGAGGCGACGAAAGCGUGGGGAGCAAACAGG
rnacentral:rRNA from 1 species